rnacentral:misc_RNA from 1 species
GCUUAUAGUGCCUCUACCAGCCUCCACCAACCCUUCACUCCACCACCACACGCGCGUACUUCGAUUUGCCACCGCCACGGCCUUUGCGGAGCUCGUGUGAGGGUCUUCCUCUUGCUCGCUACACACAUCCGACGUCAUACGGCGGGCACCAUCAUGGGGAACAGCACAUCAUCUGUGGGUGGUGCGGCGCCGCCUCAGCAGCAGGACCAGCGGCAGUCGUCCAAGACACCCAGCUGCAGAAUUUGCUGCGCCUGUCCGCAGGAGCGCCGCGCCCGUGAUGAGUGCACGCUCCUCAGGAACGUGGACGAGUGCGAGACCGAAAUAGAAGCGUUCUACGCGUGUCUGCGGAGGGAAGGCUUCAGCGCUGAGGAGGUGAACGCGCUCAAGAGGAACACCAAGACGAUGUGAGGAAGACGGCAUCAACAGUCCGGCGCAUUCUUCAUCGCCGUCAUUGCGCUGCCCUCCCUCCCCCUCCCCUAUGCACACGCCGGGCGCGCAGCAACGCAAGCGUCGUGAUGCAUGCGCCUGUGACAACGUCCGUGUGCCUGACGCUUUUUUUUUCACACUCUCUAUUCCUUUCCGCACGGCCCACCCAUCCUCUCCACCUCCAUCGCUGCCCCCUCCUCCCUCGCUGUGUGGGAGGGGAAGGAAGGGGAGGGCGACGAUGGAGGCUCCAGCGAUGCGCGCACGCUCUGCGGACGCAGGCACGGCGUGGAUGAGGAAGGAGGAUGAGCCGAACAGCAGGAGCGAAGCCGGUGCGCACGGAGGGCGGCAGAUGCAUGCAUCAGGAUGAAAGACCCCCUUGCGCGCGCGCCGACUCACGGGCAUGCGCAGAUACGCGUAAAGAUAUAUACAUAUAUAUGUGUGUGUGUAUUUGUGGUUCUCGACGGCAUGCCCAGUCCACGUUCGAGCACACGCCGGAGAAGACACGCUCCCCCCCCAAAAAAAAAAAACACACACCACCACUACGACCCCCACCCCCUCCUCCACCCCUAACCUGUGCGUCAAGCAGUAAGAGUCUCGUACAUCACAGAAAACC